rnacentral:misc_RNA from 1 species
GUCAUUUCCAUCAAAUGUAACCAAUUCAAUCUUAGGGAGAAUUUUGUUAAGAUUACCUGAUUCAACCUCAGAUCCAUGACUCCCUUGAUCCUUGCUCUGGGCAGUUUUGUUCUCCUUUGGAAGUGGCAGAAUUCCUCUUCCAUUCCCUUCUUGAUAUCCCACAGAACCCUCCUUUCCACAAUCUAAUUUUGGGACUAAAAGGAG